rnacentral:rRNA from 1 species
UACGUAGGGGGCGAGCGUUGUCCGGAGUUACUGGGCGUAAAGCGCACGCAGGCGGUCUGCUAAGUUUGGAGUGACAGUUGGUGGCUUAACUACCAAAGUGCUUCGAAAACUGACAGACUUGAGGGCUUCAGAGGGACACGGAAUUCCGGGUGGAGUGGUGAAAUGCGUAGAGAUCCGGAGGAACACCAAAGGCGAAGGCAGUGUCCUGGGGAGUACCUGACGCUCAGGUGCGAAAGCCAGGGGAGCGAACAGG